rnacentral:rRNA from 1 species
UACGUAGGGGGCUAGCGUUGUCCGGAAUCAUUGGGCGUAAAGCGCGUGUAGGCGGCCCGGUAAGUCCGCUGUGAAGGUCCAGGGCUCAACCCUGGGAUGCCGGUGGAUACUGUCGGGCUCGAGUCCGGAAGAGGCGAGUGGAAUUCCUGGUGUAGCGGUGAAAUGCGCAGAUAUCAGGGGGAACACCAAUGGCGAAGGCAGCUCGCUGGGACGUGACUGACGCUGAGACGCGAAAGCGUGGGGAGCAAACAGG